rnacentral:lncRNA from 1 species
CACUGGCCAGUUGGGAAUUAGAGGAGAGGUAUUUGUUUGGCAGGGGGCGUGGGAAGGGCAUAUUUUGAUGGAAGUUUUUUCUAGUGCACUGGUCAGGAUCUCAAACUCAGAUUCCUCUCUACGGCCUCAGUUUCCCUGUGUGUGAAUGGAAAUCGCUGUACCUGCCUGGCACAGUGGGUUUCCGCCGGGAGGGGGGCUGCAGGCCGCGGGCCGUGUCUGACCUGAAUUCUUACACUUACAGGAAAUUAGAGCCCUUGGAAGCAGGUGCGCUGGGAUCCUAACACUCGGGUGGCCGAGAGGGCGAUGUGGCUGAGGCAACAGGGAAAGGGGGCUGGACUGGGCUGGGGGCUGGAGGAGGGGCCAGUCCCGAGGGGACGGGGCUCCAACCUCACCUUCCUGCUGUCGUGGAGAAGAAAAGUGGUAAUGACCGCUACUGUGCACUGGGCUCUCGCUCUGUGCUUUGCUUGUGUUUGCUCAGUUAAUCCUCCCAACAUGCCUCUAAGGGUUCUUCUCAGCCACCGUCAACAACCCCAGCUGCUACCAAGGUGCAAGAACACACAGGCUGCUGUGAAAGGACUGUAGGGGGCAAGGGCAGAGGAAGGGGCCAGCCAGGAGGCUUCCAAAAUAAUCCAGGCAGGAGAGGAUGGUGGCCUGGACAAGGGUGGCAGGUGGAGGAAACUGGCUGGAUUCCAGAAAUUCUCCCAUUUCGGCACCCAGACUCCAUGCAGAGUAGAAAUGGAUGCUCUUGGCUGGGUGCGGGGGCUUGUGCCUGUCAUCCCAGCACUUUGGGAGGCUGAGGCAGGUGAAUCAUGAAGUCAGGAGAUCGAGACCAUCCUGGCUAAUACAGUGAAACCCUGUCUCUACUAAAAAUACAAAAAAUUAGCCGGGUGUGGUGGCACGCGCCUGUAGUCCCAGCUACUCAAGAGGCUGAGGCAGGAGAAUCGCUUGAACCAGGGAGGCGGAGGUUGCAGUGAGCUGAGAUCAGGCCACUGCACUCCAGCCUGGGUGACAGAGAGAGACUCUGUCUCAAAAAAAAAAAAAAAAAGAUGCUCUUGAAUUUGAGUUCUGAAAUUUUGCAUCCUGUUCCCCAUGUGGCGGCCCAGCCAUUUUUCCCUUAGGGUGAGUGGGCCUGUGAAACCAGGAGAGCGCUGCUGUGCGUCUAGUCGUCGGGGGCAUAUUGAUCGAUUUAUUUGACCCUCUGCAGGAGGUGUGCUGAAUGUCCCAUUCCCCGGUGCUGCCAGCUCCUCAGAGCUCUGAUCACAAGCGCUUGCCCAGUGCCUGGCAUAGAGGCGGCCAUAGCUGGACUCCUACCCUGUUCCAGAUGAGGAAACUGCCGCUCAGAGACGGCAGCCGACCCAGCCAAGGCCGCACAGCCAGGAUUCAAAGCCAUACCGCUCAGCUCCUGCCUCCAGGCUCUGCCUUUGCAUGUGGCUUCUCCUGGCUCCUGGACCCUUCCCCGGCCCUCCCAGCUGGCUGUGCUGUGACAGUGGGCGGGGGAGUGCCAAGGCUCUGCCCUGCCCCCCGCCCUUGGCAUCUCCGGUCAAUAUGGCACUCACAGCUCCCUGGGCAUGGACCCCCUCCUGCCAUCCCCACUUAAAGUGAUACUUUAAUAAAUUAUGCUUUUAUGUUAUUACACGUGGAGCUAUAAAAGCAGAGAGUGUGCGGCCGGGCUGAGGUAAGGCGCCCGCGACUUUCCAAUUUCCUGGUCUGGCCUGGCUCUGCUCCGCACCGUGAAUUUUUCAUUAAUGUGCACAGGUGACGCCACGGGGCAGCCGCAGGCCAGGUAGGCUCCCACGGCGGCAAGGCCUGGGCUGGACCUUGCUGGGCUGGGCUGGGCUGGGGAUGGCACAGCGGGUUUUGUACCAACAAGGAUUAGAAAUAGCAUCACGCUGCGGCUCAAGAUCAUGCCCUGGAUUUAAAUAGCCAGGGCGGCCAGGCACAGUGGCUCACGCCUGUAAUCCCAGCACUUUGGGAGUCCAAGGCAGAAGGAUCUCUCCAGCCCAAGAGUUCAAGGGCAGCCUGGUUAACAUAGCGAGACCCUGUCACUACAAAAAAUUUUUAAAAAUUAGCUGGGCAUGGUGGCAUGUGCCUGCAGUCCCAGCUACUCGGGAGGCUGAGGUGGAGGGAUGGCUUGAGCCUGGGAGUUGAGGUUGCAGUGAGCUAGGAUCACACCACUGCACUCCAGCCUGGGCGACACAGCAAGACCCUGUCUCAAAUAAACAAACAAAUAAGCACACACAAGAACUAGAAACCCCCUGUGUCUAGAGGAAGGAAGGGGCGUCCACUGGCCUGUGCCAGACUCUGGGCCGGCGUUUGUUGCACAUGACCUCAUUUCACCCUCAGAAGGCCAUGAGAUAGCCUUAUGCACCCCACUUGAUGGAUGAGGAAAGUGGGGCUCUGUUGGUGAGUGAGUGGCGGUGUCAGCUCUGAACCCAGCCAGUCUGAUUCUAGAACCUGAGUUCCUAACUGCUAGGCUGUUCUCAUUCAUUCCUUUCUCCCUCCUCUUCUCCCCCACGUCUGUGGGUCCUUUCCAUGUAGUCAUAGUUACAGAGGCAAUGGACACAUUGAAGAGAGGAAAGAAAACAAACACGACCUAGAAUCUACGGGGAAGGAAGCCUUCUAGACUCCAGACCUUCCGUGUCCAGAAGUGUCAGUCUUCACAUCUGUGAGGUGGGGCCAAGGAGUCCUGCCCUGCCAUGCUGGGUGUUGACUUCGGGGAAGGGGCCUUGGGAUGUCUAUGAGGAUGCAGCUGCUGCCUUCUGUCUUGGCAGAGACCAUGGCCACCCCAGGACACCGUGUUUGGUCCCCGCUGUGCUAAGUCUCCUCCAGGCACCAGCCAGGCAUCAGUGGAGCACAGCGGAAAUGGGUCCAAAGCCACCCACAGAGGCUCUGUGUGGUUCUUGGAUAAUUCUGGAAGGCUCUAGAGAAGGCAACAAGAAGGCAGGAACCCAGGGCCAGAAACUGGACAACUUGUGUGUGUUUGUCUGUAAAGUGGGGCUAGGAAUCCGCGUGGGGGUCAAAUGAGAACAGCUCUGCCUCCCAGCGCACAGUCCCGCGUCGAGGUCAGAGAGCCUCUUAGGCCCUGGCUCUUUUGGGAAAUCAUCCCAGGGGCUAAAGACAAAACUGAAGUUGAAAUAAACAUGGGGGUCCAAACACUCCAGAAUUCUGAGUGAGGGAAUCUCCUCCCAGGCUUCCACGCCAGGCCCGAAUGCAAACAAGAGGCAGCAGGGGUGGCUUGGGCCCCUCACACAGAAUUAGUGAGAUUAGCUGAGAACCAGAGCCCAGCAGAUGUCCCCUCUCUGGACUCGGUGACUCACUUGCCUCCCUGGUUGAGAAUCGUAUCCGGCUGGGCCUGAGCUGUCCUGGCUGGCGGGGAGCUGGACGCAGGGCAGAGGUCGGGGUAAACACCCGUGCUCCAGGCGGGAGGUCGGGAUGGGGGUGGUGACAAGGAGGACAACAUUUCCACUCAGCAGAAAGAAGAGCCUGAGCUGCCCUAGAGCCGGAGGCGCUGCCUGGAGAGGUCGUGAGGACCCGGUCCCAGAGGUGUGCAAGCUGGGUACCCUUUGAAGACUAUAGGAGGAUUCCAGUUGGCGCUGGGAGUACUCCAGGCAGGAUGCCAGUUCAGGUCCUUCGUGCAUGAGACUCUCCCAGAGAGGCAGGCAAACAUUUUCUGGGAAGGGCCAGAUAGUAAAUAUUUCAGGUUUUGCGGGUCAUCCUGCUAUCUCUGUUGCAACUGCUCAACUCUGCCACUGUAGCUUGGAAGCAGCUACAGACAAUACAUAAAUGAAUGGAUGUGGG